rnacentral:antisense_RNA from 1 species
CAGUGGCAGGAUCUCGGCUCACUGCAAGCUCCGCCUCCCAGGUUCACGCCAUUCUACUGGCUCUGUCUCCCAAGUAGCUGGGACUACAGGUGCCCGCCACCACGCCCAGCUAAUUUUUUUGUAUUUUUAGUAGAGACAGUGUUUCACCAUGUUAGCCAGGAUGGUCUGGAUCUCCUGACCUCGUGAUCCGCCCACCUCGGCCUCCCAAAGUGCUGGGAUUACUGGCGUGAGCCACCGUGCCCGGCCGAAAAUCUUCUUAGACCCAAUAGAGAAUUGAGGUUCAGGGCAAACUGCUGCUCCCAAAACUGGAGAGAGAUGUGACUAUAGAAAACCACAGCUACGGGUAUCACAAACCCCAGCAAGAGAAACACACAGCUGGAGCCAGUAUCCAUAGGAACACUGUAAUGUAAAUUGCUGGAGGUUCAACGUGGACUAGCUUGAGAAUUAAAAGCUCAGGGGAUGGGCAGUCUGGCUGCUGUUGCUUUGCCUAUAAAAUAAGAGGGUAUAUUACAUGAAUUAUAUGAAAUGGUACAUGGUAUAUCAUGAACAACCAGGAGAAUUAUAACAUUAAAUUUAUUCCGUCUGCAUGUUUGUACCCUUUAACCCACUUCUCUUCAUUCUCCCCAACACUCACCUUUCCCAGUCUCUUAUCUUUUUACUCUCUACUCUCAUGUGAUCAAAUUUUUUUAGCUCUCACAUAUGUGAGAACAUGUGAUAUCGCCCCAAAUUUGUC